rnacentral:pre_miRNA from 1 species
UAGAGAAACUAAAGCAUAUGUCUUGCUAUUUAAUGCCAUAUGUUUCAUUUUCUCUAUU